CCUACGGGGGGCAGCAGUGAGGAAUAUUGGUCAAUGGCCGAGAGGCUGAACCAGCCAAGUCGCGUGAGGGAAGACGGCCCUACGGGUUGUAAACCUCUUUUGUCGGGGAGCAAAGCGAGUCACGUGUGACUCAUUGAGAGUACCCGAAGAAAAAGCAUCGGCUAACUCCGUGCCAGCAGCCGCGGUAAUACGGAGGAUGCGAGCGUUAUCCGGAUUUAUUGGGUUUAAAGGGUGCGCAGGCGGCGGUGCAAGUCAGCGGUCAAAUUGCGGGGCUCAACCCCGUACUGCCGUUGAAACUGCAGCCCUUGAGUGCGCGAGAAGUAUGCGGAAUGCGUGGUGUAGCGGUGAAAUGCAUAGAUAUCACGCAGAACUCCGAUUGCGAAGGCAGCAUACCGGCGCGAAACUGACGCUCAUGCACGAAAGCGUGGGUAUCGAACAGGAUUAGAUACCCUUGUAGUC
rnacentral:rRNA from 1 species